UUGAGAAUAAAAAUAGAAAUGACAACAAAAAAGCUAAUCUAGAAAGAAAAAGUGGAAAGUGAAUCUUCCUCCAAGCUAAGAGAGGUACGACUGAGUGUUCAAAUCCUCUCUUGUGGGUAAAGAUUAAUCAAUGUUUGCCAUUGUGCGAUGAUAGUUUCUCACGAAUUCCAAUUGCCGCACAAGUGUUAACAUAUCUUGGACGAUUUGGACCUCAAGCAUUGGAGCGGAUCUGAUCUGCUAUAGGUCCAGUUAGCUGUCGAGGACAAGAUCCCAAAUCGGAGGGAAUAGAAUCUGGCAAUCUAAUGUUGAAGCGAGCCACCUCAGUUGAAGUACUGAUAUCAGUGCAGAUUGAGAAACAGAUGGUGGUACUAAUGAUGAAGCAUCAAAUUGAGAAGAGAUACAAAGAAUUGGUCCGUAGUAACUUUUUGCUUGAGAUCCAAGACCAUAUAUUCUUCUCUUCUUUUCUCCACCUGCAGCUUGAUAAUAUGCGUCACGUUGAUCAAUAUCGACUCAAUUUUCUCACGUAAUAUUUUUUCAUAUCUUUCCUGCAAUAAGUAGAGACAUUAAAAUUAUAAUAAAGAAUACUAACUAUCAGUUUCACCAAAUAAAAAGAAUAUGAAUGUCAAAAGUCGAUAAUUUUAUAAAUUCUACUUACAUGAACAAUUCGUGCUCGCUCAUCAACAAAAUUUUUUCCAUCAUGACCAUGUGUGUGGACGUGCAAAUGGAGCUCACUUGGUGUUGGGUCUUGACCCUUUUCAAUAGCCUACCCAA